UCGGGAAAGGGAGUGGCAACGGGUUUUGCCUAGUCAUCGCCUGCGAAGACUCGCGUCACCUCUGAUGUCAGGGCUUCCAGAGGCUUCGUUCCAGUUCCGGGCUCCAGGAAAGAGCGUCGCGGGGCGCAGAGGUUACACAACUUCCCCCAAGGUCGCGUCGGAAAGGACCCGCAGGGCCGGAAUUCGAACCCGCCUCAGCGGGCACGUACCCGCCUGCACGGUCCGCAGGUGGCCGGGCUCCGCGUAGCAUCCUUUCCAAACCCACCGCACAGCCCGCGCCAGCCUUGGCCUGGCUUCCUUCUUUCUCGUCUCUCAAAUGGUCUUUCACGGUGUCUGUGUGGGUACAGAUGAUCAAAGACAGAUGAUGAUCACAGAAAAGCAGACCUCUGCCCCCCGCCAUGCCUUCAGAGCAAAGUGGAUUAAAAACUUCAAGAAUGACUGAAGUGAAGGUGUUUGCCAGCUCUGUGGAAUUGGGGGUUUGGCGUCAGAACUUCAGGUUGACAAAGAUCAAAACGUCUGGUGACCAUGGUGGGGCAAGGAUAUGGUGACAUGGGCCGUUUUCAUCAUUACUGGUGGGAAGGUAAUGGUACAAUUUCUACGAAGAGCAAUUUAGCAUAUUCUUCUAAAGGUCAGCACUCACAUACCCUUUGUUAUGGGUCGAAUUGUGUCCCCCCACCAAAUUCACAUGUUGAAGUCCUAAUCCCCAGUACCUCAGAAUGUGACCCUAUUUGGAAAUCAGGACAUUACGGAUGGAAUUAGUUAAGAUGAGGUCACACCGGAGUGGAGAGGGGUCCUCAUCCAACAUGACUGUUAUCCUUAUAAAAGGAGAAAUGUGGACACACACACACACACACACAAGGAGAACACCAUGUGAACAUCAUAGACACACACACACAAGGAGAACGCCAUGUGAACAUCAUAGACACACACACACAAGGAGAACGCCAUGUGAACAUCAUAGACACACACACACAAGGAGAACGCCAUGUGAACAUCAUAGACACACACACACAAGGAGAACGCCAUGUGAACAUCAUAGACACACACACACAAGGAGAACGCCAUGUGAACAUCAAGGCUGAGAUGAGGUGAUGCAGCUAGAAGCCAAGGGACACCAAAAGUGCCAGCAAAGCACCAGGAGCCACGGAAGAGACCUGGAACAGAUCCUCCCCGACAGCUCUCAGAAGGAGCCAACCCGGCCCCACGUGAUCUCAGACUUCCAGCCUCCAGAACCGUGACAUAAUAAAUUUCUGUUGCUCAACCA